rnacentral:rRNA from 1 species
UACGGGGGGAGCAAGCGUUGUUCGGAUUUACUGGGCGUAAAGGGCGCGUAGGCGGCGCAACAAGUCACUUGUGAAAUCUCCGGGCUUAACCCGGAGCGGUCAAGUGAUACUGUCGUGCUAGAGUGCGGAAGGGGCUACUGGAAUUCUCGGUGUAGCGGUGAAAUGCGUAGAUAUCGAGAGGAACACCUGCGGCGAAGGCGGGUAGCUGGGCCGACACUGACGCUGAUGCGCGAAAGCCAGGGGAGCAAACGGG